rnacentral:misc_RNA from 1 species
GUGUGAACAUAUGUUGUCACAGAACUUGACUCAAAUAUUACAGUUUUCUCCUCCUAUACAUAUCUGCUGAAGGGUGAAUAAAUAAAAACACAAAUAAAAGUCAAGACUUUCUUCAACAUCAUCUCUUUUUUUUUUUUUUUCUUGUUUUUUUGUUUUGUUUUUCUCAUUCUUUUCUUCUAAAUAAAAGAGAAAAAGAAAAGGAUGGAUAGUUAAAAUUAGUGAUGGCGAAGCUCUGCAGCCAGAAGGAGAACUUCAUCUGUGAGCAGUGACCAGAGUUUCAAUAAACCUCAACCCAUCAAACCUUGGUGCAAAUUUGUCUGUGGAAGGUGAUUUCUGUUGAUGUUUCUUUGAGCUAGCUUCCU